rnacentral:rRNA from 1 species
AUGAACGCUGGCGGCGUGCCUCAUACCUGCCAGUCGAGCGAACAGACGAGGAGCUUGCUCCUCUGACGUUAGCGGCGGACGGGUGAGUAACACGUGGAUAACCUACCUAUAAGACUGGGAUAACUUCGGGAAACCGGAGCUAAUACCGGAUAAUAUAUUGAACCGCAUGGUUCAAUAGUGAAAGACGGUUUUGCUGUCACUUAUAGAUGGAUCCGCGCCGCAUUAGCUAGUUGGUAAGGUAACGGCUUACCAAGGCAACGAUGCGUAGCCGACCUGAGAGGUUGAUCGGCCACACUGGACCUGAGACACGGUCCAGACUCCUACGGGAGGCAGCAGUAGGAAAUCUUCCGCAAUGGCGAAAGCCUGACGGAGCAACGCCGCGUGAGUGAUGAAGGUCUUCGGAUCGUAAAACUCUGUUAUUAGGGAAGAACAAAUGUGUAAGUAACUAUGCACGUCUUGACGGUACCUAAUCAGAAAGCCACGGCUAACUACGUG